UACGGAGGGGGCGAGCGUUAUUCGGAAUUAUUGGGCGUAAAGGGCGCGUAGGCGGCUGUACAAGUCAAAGGUGAAAUCCCUCGGCUCAACUGAGGAACUGCCUUUGAAACUGUACGGCUUGAGGCCGGGAGGGGGUAGCGGAAUUCCCAGUGUAGCGGUGAAAUGCGUAGAUACUGGGAGGAACACCAGUGGCGAAGGCGGCUACCUGGACCGGUACUGACGCUGAGGUGCGAAAGCGUGGGGAGCAAACAGG
rnacentral:rRNA from 1 species